rnacentral:rRNA from 1 species
UCCACGCCGUAAACGAUGCACACUAGGUGCCGGUGUCUCUGACGGUUUCGGCGCCGCAGCAAAAGUGCUAAGUGUGCCGCCUGGGGAGUACGGCCGCAAGGCUAAAACUCAAAGGAAUUGACGGGGGCUCACACAAGCGGUGGAGCAUGUGGCUUAAUUCGAAGCAACGCGAAGAACCUUACCCGGGUUUGACAUGCUUGGAUGCCCUCCGGGGAUAACUCGGUGGGUUGCCCUUCGGGGUGAAACUUGCACAGGUGUUGCACGGCUGUCGUCAGCUCGUGCUGUGAAGUGUCGGGUUAA